AUCCAGUUUUUUUCCUUUCAGGAAAUUUGUUUCUGUAAAAAUGUGGGAGGGGUGUGUGAAAAAGAAGAAGAACAAAUCUCACUUUUCAGAGAGAAAAAUGCAACAUGACCUCAUUCAGGAGACAACUGACAUGGGGGCUGAAGGCUUUAUUACCAUAUCUCAAUGCUUUUUCCAAUCUCUUUCUCUAAUGACAUCAUUUACACCAAACCCUGAUUGCUAGCCAUACACAGCAAGCAUUGUAAAUCCCCUGAGUCAAACCAGACCUGUAAAGCUGAAGUGAUUGUUUGCACUUUGAAUAAAGGUUACACACGUCAUGAACUUGUGAAACCAGGAGACACUUCCCCAAUUUCUGCUACAUAUGCUUCAAAUCAGAAGCACUGAUUGAAUUAUGGUCUAACUCUCUGUGGCCAAUUAAAACUGAAGCGUUGCUUUUCUACCAAAGCCUCUUUCUCCCACGGUGUCAAUAAAGUAUUGCUGUGAUACAUAA